rnacentral:rRNA from 1 species
UACAGAGGUGGCAAGCGUUGUUCGGAAUUACUGGGCGUAAAGGGCGCGUAGGCGGCCCGCUAAGUCGAACGUGAAAUCCCCAGGCUCAACCUGGGAACUGCGUCCGAUACUGGCAGGCUUGAAUCCGGGAGAGGGAUGUGGAAUUCCAGGUGUAGCGGUGAAAUGCGUAGAUAUCGGAAGGAACAUCAGUGGCGAAGGCGACUUCCUGGACCAAUACUGACGCUCAGGUGCGAAAGCGUGGGGAGCAAACAGG